AGAGCCAUUUCUGCAUCAAAGUGCUCAACAAGGCAAAUGUGCCUGAGAUGCUAAAAAAACAAAUAUUAAAAUGUGCCUGGAGGAGGACUACUAAGCUACUGAAUGGUGUGGAAGUCAAGGAAGCUGGGUAUGUUUAGCCUGGAGAAGAGAAAUGAUAGAUACCCCUCUUCAAAGACUUGAAGGGGUGCCAGAAGUGGAGGAUGGAUGUCUUCUGUGGCUCCAGAAGUAAGGAUCCCAACUGAUUUAAUUUUGAUUUAAUAUUAAGAAGAAUCUCCUGGCUCAAAUGACUCUUAUUCGAUAACAGAAUAGUACAUCCCAGAAGGAGGUGGAUUUUAAAUAGAUAUUGUAUGGCUCUCUUUGGAUUUCCUGCUUCAGCAGUGAGCUGGACUCAGUGACCCCCAGCAUCUUUUACGACUCUGCCAUUCUGUGAUUCUGAAAUACAAAGGACGGAUGGAUAGUGGUUUCCUGUCAGCCACAAACACUUGUCUCACCUUAUCUUUUAAAUCUGUGUUGGUCUGUGGGCCCAGCUGGAAAUCUGCUUCAGACUUACCACAGGUCUCGGAGGCCGCCGUUAAGGAAAAUACAUAACUUUCCUUCUUCCCAUUAAUUUAAUUUAUAUCCCAUCUUGUUUACAAUGCUGGGACUAAAGGUAGCUCACAAUGUGCUUAAUAAGAAGAUGCCAGUAGAAACACAAUUGGGUUUUAAUAUUAAAACACAAAGUAGCAAUUUUUUUGUAAGAAACAACUGAAUUGAAAUCAGUUUGAAAGGAAAGCCAGAAAAGAAGGGGGAGCAAACCAGCGCUAUUUCCCAAAAGGGUGCUCUCAGACCCUCUGUCUUCAUCAAAUGUACCCAGAAGGAUAGUACAGUAGAACUAGUCGGAAGGGAAAGAGAUUUUCAUCUGAAGAUCUUCAAAACACCCAGAGGCAGAAAGCAUUGGAACUCAUCCUGGAACAUUUACACCACGUUAAACAAUGAAUCUUGGAGAAAUAUUCCAUCAGAAAGGCAUAUCAAGACAUCAAGAUAUAAAAUAAAACAAAAAAAUACCGAUAAAUCUGCAUCUAUGUCUAUAUUUAGGCAUGAUGGACAAUGUUCCCUCUAAGCUCCAUGUAAGCGCACUUACCCAGAGCUCCAUAGGAAUUGUGUACGGGCAGCUGGCAGCCAGCUCGUUUACUUCCCAUUUCAAAUGAAGCCCCUACCAUCUCUGUGCUGAUGGAGAGAGUUUUCCACACAGUAGGAGAGAAACAUAGAGGGAAUGUUGGUUAUGGGCCUUUUUGACUGCCUCACAUGGGAAUAUCAAUAUUUCAGUAUGUAAUGGCCUAAAACUCUGCAAUUUAGUGUAUUCCACUCCAAAAUAGCCUGCUUCAAUCAACUUAAACCACAAUAAGAUAAGCUGAUUUGUCAAAUAAGUACAAAUAUUUAUGGUUGUUGUUCUUGGGGGGGAAAAGCCAACAAUCCAGGGUUGAGAAGUAUCUUUAUUGGGCCAGCAAAAAAUCAUAAAAAAGGGUCCCCCUUUCAGGUGCUCCAGAACUUUUCAUUAGGCUGGACUUUAGGCUGGACCAUUAGUGGCCAUGCUGACUGGGCCAUUCUGGGAGUUAUAAUCCAACAAUGCAAGUUUUCCAAGCUUUGAUUCUGAUAUAGAUGUAGACAUGAAUGUUACCUGUUGACAGGUUUGAAAUAAACCUGGAGAAUUGUUAAAUCCA
ensembl:lncRNA